CAGUCGCCGCGGUAAUACGAAGGGUGCAAGCGUUACUCGGAAUUACUGGGCGUAAAGCGUGCGUAGGUGGUGGUUUAAGUCCGUUGUGAAAGCCCUGGGCUCAACCUGGGAAUUGCAGUGGAUACUGGGUCACUAGAGUGUGGUAGAGGAUAGUGGAAUUUCCGGUGUAGCAGUGAAAUGCGUAGAGAUCGGAAGGAACAUCUGUGGCGAAGGCGGCUAUCUGGGCCAACACUGACACUGAGGCACGAAAGCGUGGGGAGCAAGCAGGAUUAGAUACCCCUGUAGUCCCUGUCUCUUAUAC
rnacentral:rRNA from 1 species